ACAAAAAAAGAGGGCCCCAUUAAAAACUGAAGCCUGCAAAAUGUACACUGUAGCCAGUGCUCCAAAGAUUAUCCCAGAGAAGGAAGCAGAUGAGCAUAGGGGCUCUCCACUAACAAAUCACAUUAAUCAAUGGGGAGUUGGCCCCUAGCUCAUUCCUACUCUGUUUCAAACUCAGAGACAUUUCUGAGUUUCCUGGAUUGUUCCAGAAGACUUAGAAGGCACAGCCUAAAGAAUUCUAUUUAAUUUUCCAGAAGACUUAGA